rnacentral:rRNA from 1 species
UACGGGGGGAGCAAGCGUUGUUCGGAUUUACUGGGCGUAAAGGGCGCGUAGGCGGUCGUGACAAGUCACUUGUGAAAUCUCCGGGCUUAACUCGGAACGGUCAAGUGAUACUGUCGGACUAGAGUACAGAAGGGGCAACUGGAAUUCUCGGUGUAGCGGUGAAAUGCGUAGAUAUGCGGAGGAACACCAAUGGCGAAGGCAAUCUCCUGGACCUGCACUGACGCUCAUGCACGAAAGCGUGGGGAGCAAACAGG